AUUGAACGCUGGCGGCAGGCCUAACACAUGCAAGUCGAGCGAGCGGCGGACGGGUGAGUAAUGUAUGGGGACUGCCCGAUAGAGGGGGAUAACUACUGGAAACGGUGGCUAAUACCGCAUACUAUCGGAUAACCCAUAUGGGAUUAGCUAGUCGGUGGGGGAAAGGCUCACCUAGGCUAAGAUCCCUAGCUGGUCUGAGAGGAUGAGCAGCCACACGGGGACUGAGACACGGCCCAGACUCCUACGGAGGCAGCAGUGGGGAAUAUUGCACAAUGGGCGCAAGCCUGCUGCAGCCAUGCCGCGUGUAUGAAGAAGGCCUUAGGGUUGUAAAGUACUUUCAGUCGGGAGGCGUUACCGACAGAAGAAGCACCGGCUAACUCCGUGCCAGCAGCCGCGGUAAUAC
rnacentral:rRNA from 1 species